AUUGAACGCUGGCGGCAGGCCUAACACAUGCAAGUCGAGCGGAUGAAGGGAGCUUGCUCCUGGAUUCAGCGGCGGACGGGUGAGUAAUGCCUAGGAAUCUGCCUGGUAGUGGGGGAUAACGUCCGGAAACGGGCGCUAAUACCGCAUACGUCCUGAGGGAGAAAGUGGGGGAUCUUCGGACCUCACGCUAUCAGAUGAGCCUAGGUCGGAUUAGCUAGUUGGUGGGGUAAAGGCCUACCAAGGCGACGAUCCGUAACUGGUCUGAGAGGAUGAUCAGUCACACUGGAACUGAGACACGGUCCAGACUCCUACGGGAGGGAGCAGUGGGGAAUAUUGGACAAUGGGCGAAAGCCUGAUCCAGCCAUGCCGCGUGUGGGAAGAAGGUCUUCGGAUUGUAAAGCACUUUAAGUUGGGAGGAAGGGCAGUAAGUUUAUACCUUGCUGUUUUGACGUUACCAACAGAAUAAGCACCGGCUAACUUCGUG
rnacentral:rRNA from 1 species